UUAAAUAACCCAGGGUUGAUGACGUAUGGACCCUGCAUAUGCGAGUGCGACGACCUCCGCAGGCUGAAACCAGUCUCUCGAGCUGAAAGAAAACGCAGCUGAGGAGAUAUGAGACUGCAGACAAGAGCCAUCGACCAUUGUUCCAGGAAACUUCCACCUAAACAGAUGCUGAGGCCCAGAUUUCUCUGCCAAGCACUCCAAGGCUCAUCAUGCUCGGAGAGUCCAUUCUGGGGGCAAAAAAUGGAUGCUUCCCAUCGAGGGCAGAGUUCUCCUCCAAUUGAGUGACCGUUGUGAUUUCACUUCUGCUCUAGCCAUGUAUGAUGCAGCCACUACAUUGGAAUUUAUCCAGAGGGUAGAGUCCAGCCCAGGAAGUCAACUAGUUCAGGUCCAGUUUUAAAAGAAUAAUAGUUCUGAAAAAAAAAAACGUCUUGGAGAAAAAACAAUAUUCAGGUUUGAAAUCCUGCUGUAAAUGUAAAUCAUUUAAUUUUUAUGCAUUUGUAAUUUACCAGAAACAUUUUAAUAAAUAUUGAUUGUUUUGUGUGUUCAGGAAAGUGUUUUU